rnacentral:rRNA from 1 species
AGAACGAACGCUGGCGGCAGGCUUAACACAUGCAAGUCGAACGCCCCGCAAGGGGAGUGGCAGACGGGUGAGUAACGCGUGGGAACGUACCUUUCGCUUCGGAAUAUUCCCGGGAAACUGGGAGCAAUGCCGAAUACGCCGUAUUGGGAAAGAUUUAUCGGCGAAAGAUCGGCCCGCGUUAGAUUAGCUAGUUGGCGGUGUAAUGGACCACCAAGGCUACGAUCUAUAGCUGGUCUGAGAGGAUGAUCAGCCACACUGGGACUGAGACACGGCCCAGACUCCUACGGGAGGCAGCAGUGGGGAAUCUUGGACAAUGGGCGCAAGCCUGAUCCAGCCAUGCCGCGUGAGUGAAGAAGGCCUUAGGGUUGUAAAAACUCUUUCGCCGGAGAAGAUAAUGACGGUAUCCGGAGAAAGAAGCCCCGGCUAACUUCGUGCCAGCAGCCGUC